GUAGGGAAUCUUCCGCAAUGGACGAAAGUCUGGCGGAGCAACGCCGCGUGAGUGAUGAAGGUUUUCGGAUCGUAAAGCUCUGUUGUUAGGGAAGAACAAGUGCCGUUCAAAUAGGGCGGCACCUUGACGGUACCUAACCAGAAAGCCACGGCUAACUACGU
rnacentral:rRNA from 1 species